UACGUAGGGUGCAAGCGUUAAUCGGAAUUACUGGGCGUAAAGCGUGCGCAGGCGGUGAUGUAAGACAGGUGUGAAAUCCCCGGGCUUAACCUGGGAACUGCAUUUGUGACUGCAUCGCUGGAGUGCGGCAGAGGGGGAUGGAAUUCCGCGUGUAGCAGUGAAAUGCGUAGAUAUACGGAGGAACACCGAUGGCGAAGGCAAUCCCCUGGGCCUGCACUGACGCUCAUGCACGAAAGCGUGGGGAGCAAACAGG
rnacentral:rRNA from 1 species